UCUUGCCUAGUAUAUCGGUUCAGUACACCCGCUUGUCAUUAAAUUGCCUAAUCGACACAUCUUGAUUACGCGGGAGAGCAGGGUUCGACUCCCUGGGCGAGAG